AUCUUUGUGCUUGGGGAAAUGACGCAGCUAGUGAGAUUCUAACCGAGGUGCGUCUAUAGCUGGUUGAGAACUAUUUCCAGCCCCCCUCUUCAGCCUGGUUUCACCCCUAGCUGUUGAGAAUUAAAAUCACCAAGGGUUG
rfam:Nicotiana attenuata strain TT chromosome 11, whole genome shotgun sequence.